CUGCGUGACUUGAGUUCACAGGUGUGCCUCCACCCACGACCUCGCUGAGCGGCGAGCCCGUCCUCUUGGACCGUAGCGUCCACAGCCACAGCCAGUCUCCACCCCAAGUCCUGCGGUGCUCAGAGGAGCCACGGAGAAUACCAAGGACGAGACGCGGUUCUUCCUCACAGAGCUUCCUUUAAGUCUGUUUGAGAAGGAGAAGGCCUAGAAAGGUCACGAAGGCCUAGAACACCGCGGGGCGGUGGACGAUCCAGCACGCUAUGGGUUUUGGAAGGGAAGCACGCGGAAGCACGGAGGAGAAUCGCGUAGCCCAGACUCGCAGGGCCGAGAGUGACUUCUGGGAAGAAGCAACGGGCCGGCCAAGACCCGAAAGAGGAAGCAUCAGCCUGGGGUGCAGAGAGGAACACGCGGGAAGGUGUGCCGUGCGAUGGAGCAGAGGCAGAGGGGCGCGAAGGCCGCCAGCGUAGUGUGUGCGAGCCAACAGCGCGGGAGGACCGAGGACGAUGGGAAACCGUGAAGGGGGGUAAGCGUGGAGAUGACCCCAGGAGGCUGGUGGUUCACCCCUUUCCUGGGCAGCCCCAGGCUGCGACAGCGAGGAGAGAGCUGUCCGAGGAUUCCGAGGAUUCAGGCAGAUGUGGCGAAACAGUGACUUCUGUCCUUCUGCCCCUCGUGGACCAAGAAGGUUUCCAAGAGAUGCCGUGAGCAGUAGGAGCCAUCAAUCGAGGACCGACUGCGGUGCCUUCGACGGGAGCCGGCAGCUGCCAGCUCUGGACCCGAGCAGAAAGCACAGGACGUGCAUGAGCAAACACCCCCCUCCUGUGGCCGAGAGAGGUAUUGCCUUCGUCCUGUCUUGGUUCCCACCCUGAAAGGCAGGUAAGGUGAAGUCCCGGAGGCAGGUAGCUGGGGCCCCCAGGAGGUUCCCAGCCUGUUUUUUGCCCUUUUUUUUAGAGAAAUCUGAAUACUGGACAAAAUGUGUAUGGAGGCUUAGAAACAAAUGCUGCAAGGACAGUCAAUGUUACAGAUGACUAAUUUUCUUCUUUUCUUCAUUUUGUUCAGAUGUAUUUAACAUUUUCUGUCACAGGGGCGCCUGGGUGGCUGUCGGU